rnacentral:lncRNA from 1 species
UCCUCUGCAUCUCAGGUUCCCCAGAUUUCAAAUGAGGUGACUGAAUAUGACGGUCUCCAAGUGCCUUCUUGGUGCCAGUCCCUAGCUGCCCAGCAUGGAUCAUCUGGGGAAGCUGUGUGGGAAAGUGUUGCUAGGGAUUGCAAACAGAAGUCUGUAAAUUGCACUCCCAUCCAUAAAAGGGUUCUCAUAUAUCAGAGUGCUGGGAGACAGAUGCAAAGGCUGGGGCAAGACUGCUGUGGAGCACUGGGUGCACCUAAGAGGGAAGAAGGAGCUGGAUUUGGCACUGAGCACCAGAGCAUAGUGAGGUGGUCAUGGGAGCAGCCGAGUUGGUUCAAAACUGCACCUUGCCUGACUUUUUUCCCCUGAUUCUGGCCUAAGUACUGCUCUACAGCCAUGUGACCUGGGUCACAUGGAAUGAUGGUGAUCGAUAUAGACGUGAUCUCAGAGUUCACUCCCUCAUCAUACAGUGGAGGAAACGAGGCCCAGGGAGGGGCGGAACAUUUUUCCAAGUCAUACAGCAAGAACUCAGAGGCCUCUUGGUUCCUGCUCUUGCCUUGAGGUGGUUCUGCGGGGCGCUCCAGAGCCCCCAAGAAAUUCUUCUGAAAUUCAGUUCUCCACAGGACACCUGGGCUCCUCCUCUGUCCUCCCAGCCCCUCACAGAGGAGUAGUUUCCCUUCUGGCCUGCCUAAGUCUGUCUUGUCUUCUGGACUUCAGUGGCCACCAUGGACCUCCCAAGCUUUCUCUUGGGCUCUUCCAGUGCCGACCUCAGCUUGGCUGCCUCACACUCUGUCUGGUGGGCACUUACAGGAGCCAUGUCCACAGACCACCUCGCCUGGGCUGUGGAGGCCCCGUUCUGAGACCACGUGCAGUCCAAAAAAGGAAGCUAAAAGGGGUCAGAGGAAAACAUCCCCGUGUAGGGUGAGGGUGAAUCUCAGUCUCCCUGUCAACUCUCUUUAUCCUGACAUCCAGAAUUCCAGACCUUUGUGGGCACUGAUCCCUGAGACUGGGCUCUUUAAGCUCUUUCACUGAUCCCUGGGGUCCGAAACUUUCAGCUUGCACUUUGGUUUGGUAAACCACUGACUGUCCUACCAAACGCCCCCGCACCCCACAAACUCAACCUGUGCUCUUCAUGUGCUAUCUCCUGUUCGAUCCCCACACUGACCUUCUGGGUUAGGGACUUGCAUGUCCCCAUUUUAUAGAUGAGGAGCCUGAGGCCCAGAGAGGUAAGUCACCUGCCCAGUAUCACACAGCCUGAGAUUGGCAGAGCCAGAUCUCAUGGAAUGAGAGCCCUGUCUCACCUCCCUAGAGACAGAGCUUAAUUGAUAACUUUGAGUUGAUACUGAAAGGUCACAGGAAUUGCAGCAGAUAAGGUGUUCUGAGGAACUGGCUCUCUAGCACCUGUGGUAAUUAAUUCAGUAUCCCUUUUUGUGUCCCAGAGAAGCACAGUGGCUAAAGCGCACAGCACAAGCUUGGAGAUCAGAUGGACAUGGCUUCAAAUCUCGUCUCUGCUGUUUACAAAAAGUAUGACCCCAGGAGAGGGAUUUAUACCCUCUGAGCUGUAGUUUCCUCAUCCACAAUGUGGGAGCAGGAUUUUAGAGGAUACCGAGAGAUUAAAUGAGAUCUUUCUUAUAGAGUCCUUAGCAAGGGGCUUGGCACCAUGGAUGGUAAUAUCAUCAUGAUGAUGCCAGGUAUUUUCAUUGCUAUUCCUUAUUAUUCAUCAGUAUUUUUAUUCAUUGCUAUUGCUGGUUGUAUUCAUCAUUAAUAAAUAAUAGCAUUGUUUAUUAA